AGUGGGGAAUAUUGGACAAUGGGCGAAAGCCUGAUCCAGCCAUGCCGCGUGUGUGAAGAAGGCCUUCGGGUUGUAAAGCACUUUCAGUGGGGAAGAAAGCCUUGGGGCUAAUACCCUCGAGGAAGGACAUCACCCACAGAAGAAGCACCGGCUAACUCCGUGCCAGCAGCCGCGGUAAUACGGAGGGUGCGAGCGUUAAUCGGAAUUACUGGGCGUAAAGCGCGCGUAGGCGGUCUGAUAAGCCGGUUGUGAAAGCCCCGGGCUCAACCUGGGAACGGCAUCCGGAACUGUCAGGCUAGAGUGCAGGAGAGGAAGGUAGAAUUCCCGGUGUAGCGGUGAAAUGCGUAGAGAUCGGGAGGAAUACCAGUGGCGAAGGCGGCCUUCUGGACUGACACUGACGCUGAUGUGCGAAAGCGUGGGUAGCAAACAGGAUUAGAUACCCUGGUAGUCCACGCCGUAAACGAUGUCGACUAGCCGUUGGGGUCCUUGAGACCUUUGUGGCGCAGUUAACGCGAUAAGUCGACCGCCUGGGGAGUACGGCCGCAAGGUUA
rnacentral:rRNA from 1 species